UAGUAGAAGGCUAGGACACGUUCGUAUAUAUGGUUAAGCAAAGCGUUUACUACGCUAGCGCUGUGUUAAGUCAUGCUCGGCAGCCUGUACACUGCCUUGGGUGGUCAGCUAAUAUAGGGCUGUGGCCUGUGGACUGUGGCUGCAGCCUGCUUAUCCUGGCAACUGGCCAGGUAGCGCAGCUGUCAGUGUUAGAGCUGCUCAGACAUCUCGCUUGAUCAGAGAGGAAAAUUACUAUUUACAGCC
rnacentral:lncRNA from 1 species